GAUGAACGCUGGCGGCGUGCUUAACACAUGCAAGUCGAACGGGAAACAUUUUAUUGAAGCUUCGGCAGAUUUAGUUUGUUUCUAGUGGCGGACGGGUGAGUAACGCGUGGGUAACCUGCCUUAUACAGGGGGAUAACAGCCGGAAACGGCUGCUAAUACCGCAUAAGCGCACAGAGGCGCAUGCUUCAGUGUGAAAAACUCCGGUGGUAUAAGAUGGACCCGCGUUGGAUUAGCUGGUUGGCAGGGCAGCGGCCUACCAAGGCGACGAUCCAUAGCCGGCCUGAGAGGGUGGACGGCCACAUUGGGACUGAGACACGGGCCCAGACUCCUACGGGAGGCAGCAGUGGGGAAUAUUGCACAAUGGGGGAAACCCCUGAUGCAGCGACGCCGCGUGAA
rnacentral:rRNA from 1 species